rnacentral:rRNA from 1 species
UACGUAGGGUGCGAGCGUUGUCCGGAUUUAUUGGGCGUAAAGAGCUCGUAGGCGGUUUGUCGCGUCGGCCGUGAAAUCUCCACGCUUAACGUGGAGCGUGCGGUCGAUACGGGCAGACUUGAGUUCGGUAGGGGAGACUGGAAUUCCUGGUGUAGCGGUGAAAUGCGCAGAUAUCAGGAGGAACACCGGUGGCGAAGGCGGUUCUCUGGGCAGUACCUGACGCUGAGGAGCGAAAGUGUGGGGAGCGAACAGG